rnacentral:misc_RNA from 1 species
UUGAAUGAACUUGGCGUGAUUGUAGCUGGCCCUCUUGGGGGCAUGUGCACAUCCGUCGUCUUUAUCUCUCCACCUGUGCACACUUUGUAGGUCUGGAAUAACUUUCCGAGGAAACUCGGUCGUAGGGACUGCUGUUAAGGCUUUCCUUGCAUUUUCCAGGUCUAUGUUUUCAUAUACGCCAUAAGAAUGUAAUAGAAUGUUUUUAUUGGGCCUUGUUGCCUAUAAACUAUAUA